CGGUGCUUGCACCGGGUGAUCAGUGGCGAACGGGUGAGUAACACGUGAGCAACCUACCCUUCACUCUGGGAUAAGCCUUGGAAACGAGGUCUAAUACCGGAUACGAGACGCACGGGCAUCUGUAGCGUCUGGAAAGAUUUAUUGGUGGAGGAUGGGCUCGCGGCCUAUCAGCUUGUUGGUGGGGUAAUGGCCUACCAAGGCGACGACGGGUAGCCGGCCUGAGAGGGCGACCGGCCACACUGGGACUGAGACACGGCCCAGACUCCUACGGGAGGCAGCAGUGGGGAAUAUUGCACAAUGGGCGAAAGCCUGAUGCAGCGACGCCGCGUGCGGGAUGACGGCCUUCGGGUUGUAAACCGCUUUCAGCAGGGAAGAAGCGAAAGUGACGGUACCUGCAGAAGAAGCGCCGGCUAACUACGUGCCAGCAGCCGCGGUAAUACGUAGGGCGCAAGCGUUGUCCGGAAUUAUUGGGCGUAAAGAGCUCGUAGGCGGUUUGUCGCGUCUGCUGUGAAAACCUCAGGCUCAACCUGGGGCUUGCAGUGGGUACGGGCAGACUAGAGUGCGGUAGGGGUGACUGGAAUUCCUGGUGUAGCGGUGGAAUGCGCAGAUAUCAGGAGGAACACCGAUGGCGAAGGCAGGUCACUGGGCCGCAACUGACGCUGAGGAGCGAAAGCAUGGGGAGCGAACAGGAUUAGAUACCCUGGUAGUCCAUGCCGUAAACGUUGGGCACUAGGUGUGGGGUCCAUUCCACGGAUUCCGUGCCGCAGCAAACGCAUUAAGUGCCCCGCCUGGGGAGUACGGCCGCAAGGCUAAAACUCAAAGAAAUUGACGGGGGCCCGCACAAGCGGCGGAGCAUGCGGAUUAAUUCGAUGCAACGCGAAGAACCUUACCAAGGCUUGACAUACACCGGAAAAGUGCAGAGAUGUGCUCCCCGCAAGGUCGGUGUACAGGUGGUGCAUGGUUGUCGUCAGCUCGUGUCGUGAGAUGUUGGGUUAAGUCCCGCAACGAGCGCAACCCUCGUCCCAUGUUGCCAGCGGGUUAUGCCGGGGACUCAUGGGAGACUGCCGGGGUCAACUCGGAGGAAGGUGGGGAUGACGUCAAAUCAUCAUGCCCCUUAUGUCUUGGGCUUCACGCAUGCUACAAUGGCCGGUACAAAGGGCUGCGAUACCGCGAGGUGGAGCGAAUCCCAAAAAGCCGGUCUCAGUUCGGAUUGGGGUCUGCAACUCGACCCCAUGAAGUCGGAGUCGCUAGUAAUCGCAGAUCAGCAACGCUGCGGUGAAUACGUUCCCGGGCCUUGUACACACCGCCCGUCAAGUCAUGAAAGUCGGUAACACCCGAAGCCGA
rnacentral:rRNA from 1 species